CUGAAGCUGAUCUGCCACCUCACCUGUGUGCAAGGAGCAGGUGAGCGUGGCCAAUCAGGUGGCGGCUCUGUGGUGAAAUGCAGACAAACCUGUCAGGCAGAGAGAGAGAGAGCGAGCGAGCCCCAUAGAGUCAGAGUGGGAACUCCCUCUGUGCGAGGGAGAGGAGAGGAAGGAGGACACCACACUCAGACAUCCAGUGGGUCCCACACGCUGGUCAGAGCACGCCGUGACAUCAGAGUGACAUCAUGAGCUCCCCCACUGAGCAUACAGACGGGCAGGGUGAGGACAGGUCCUGAGCCUCAUCGCCGAUCUCUUCCUUGCUGAUGACUUCACUGAUUAGUCUGCAGUUUCUGAUUGGCUCCUGGUCGGGUCCUGAUCGGGUUCUGGUCCUCGGACAGGAAGCUGACGCCUUUUCCUGGAUCUGAGCUCAGAGUCAAAGACCAGAGGAGGCCUCUGAUCCUCCCGAGUCCCUG
ensembl:lncRNA